rfam:Corchorus capsularis cultivar CVL-1 contig08588, whole genome shotgun sequence.
AUGCCAUUGUGAGGGCAGCUGGCGCAAAGCAUCUUGAAUCUAUCCCAUGCUUGGUAAAAAUUCUCUUCCUUUUGUUGUUGAAAAGCAGCAAUUUGUUGUCUUCCUUU